rnacentral:tRNA from 2 species
AAGGCUGUAGCUCAGUCGGUAGAGCGAUGUGCCUGUUCUCUUGUCGCUGCCCGCAGGCCCGGCCUGCACCGAUUGACCCGGCGAAUGCCGGUGGAACUACAGGACAGCGUGGUCGCGGGUUCGAUUCCCGCCAACC